AUUGAACGCUGGCGGCAGGCCUAACACAUGCAAGUCGAGCGGAGCGGCGGACGGGUGAGUACUGCCUAGGAAUCUGCAUGGUAGUGGGGGAUAACGUCCGGAAACGGGAGCUAAUACCGCAUACUAUCAGAUGAGCCUAGGUCGGAUUAGCUAGGUGGUGGGGUAAAGGCCUACCAAGGCGACGAUCCGUAACUGGUCUGAGAGGAUGAUCAGUCACACUGGAACUGAGACACGGUCCAGACUCCUUCGGGAGGCAGCAGUUGGGAAUAUUGCACAAUUGGCCAAAGCCCUAUCCAGCCAUGCCGCUUGUGUGAAGAAGGUCUUCGGAUUUUAAAGCACUUUUAGUUGGGAGGCGUUACCAACAGAAUAAUCACCGGCAAACUUCGUGCCAGGCGCCGCGGUAAUAC
rnacentral:rRNA from 1 species